rnacentral:rRNA from 1 species
CCCGGCACAAGCGGAGGAGCAUGUGGCUUAAUUCGAUGCAACGCGAAGAACUUUACCAGGGCUUGACAUGUAACUGCAGGCCCGUGAAAGCGGGGCGGCCUUCGAGGGUGUUACACAGGUGCUGCAUGGCUGUCGUCAGUUCGUGCCGUGAGGUGUUGGGUUAAGUCCCGCAACGAACGCAACCCCUGUGUCCUGUUGCCACUCCCGGUGAUGAAUCGGGAAGCACUCUGGACAGACUGCCUGUACAAGCAGGAGGAAGUGGGGAUGACGUCAAGUCAGUAUGGCCCUUACGUCCUGGGCUGCACACGUGCUACAAUGGCCGGUACAGAGGGCUGCGAUACCGCGAGGUGGAGCUAAUCCCAAAAAACCGGCCCCAGUUCAGAUUGCAGGCUGCAACUCGCCUGCAUGAAGUUGGAUUCGCUAGUAACGGCGCAUCAGCUACGGCGCCGUGAAUACGUUCCCGGGCCUU